UGUAGAGCAAAUAUGAAAGGAAAUUAUAAACCAGAAAUACAGAAAAAUGAGAAAGAAACUUACUCAUAAUAUACUUGGAGGUGGGGAAGAGUCUUGUCUCACGAGAAAAAGUCAGGAGUAAUACAGACGAAGGCCUUUAUUUUUAAGAGAGGACCAAGAGGGGCCAUUUAUAAGGGUAGUUGAGUCACGUUGCACCCGCAAGAUAACUGUGAGAUCAAGGUCUCUCCGAAAUGUUGUGUCUCGUACCUCUUUCAAACCUAAUGGUGUUCGGAAAAGGCUCUUUUCAAAACAUACUGGUAAUUUUGAUCAGCCCUUUCUAAACCAGAAUGGUAAUUUUGAUAAGCUCUUUCUAAAACACAUUGGUGUCUGGGUCAUCCUGACCCUAAGAAAACUGUAUAAAUAGAAGUGCUUCAGCUCUGGUUUUUUAGAUCACAUUUUGGCACGUCUCAAACUGUGUGGAUCUCGUGUGGUUGAACGGAACGAAUAAACCUGGACCCUUGCUUCUUCUCACUCAUGGCUGGUGUCUUAUUUUUCUUUCUCCAAUUGAAUAUCUGUUACGAUUCCUUGGCGGAGACAAACAAGGACUGGCAAACUGGAGUACGUGGGGCAGACGACAGACGGACCACGGAACGAAAUCAAGGAUUCUAGUGAACAGGCAGCAAAAAAAACAACAGAAACCUAGAGUCUGCUGACACGAAAAACCAAGUUCUGCUCACUCCCGAGUUGCUGACAUGGAAAACCGAGUUCUGCUCACUCUCGAGUUGCUGACAUGGAAAACCGAGUUCUGCUCACUCUCGAGUUGCUGACACGGUCAACCAAGUUCUGCUUAUGCCAGAGUUGCUAACACAGUCAACCAAGUUCUACUUACUCCCGAGUUGCUAACACGGUCAACCAAGUUCUGCUCACGCCCGAGUCCGCUGGCACCGCCAGCCAAGUUCUGCUUAUGCUUGAGACUGACAACACAGCCAACCAAGCAAUGGGUACACCUGAGUCUGGUGGCACGGCCAACCAAGUUCAGCCUGCAGAGUCGAUAGAGAAGGACGCUCAGCCUCUCUGCAUGAUUGAGGACGCCACUCAGCAUCUUUAUACAGCUGAGGACGCUGCUCAGUCUCCCUGCUCCACUGAGGACUUCGCUCUGCCUUCCUGCUCUGAUGAGGACGUCGCUCUGCCUUCCUGCUCCGAUGAGGAUGUUGCUUUGCCUUCCUGCUCCGAUGAGGACGUUGCUCUGCCUUCCUGUCCCGCUGAGGACGUCGCUCUGCCUUCCUGUUCAGCUGAAGAUAUUUUGCCCAGAAGGCCAGGAUGGCCAGGGGAGGGGAGUGUGUUCUGGUGGUUCUGUCACGAUUUCCUCUCGAGCUAGCGCUAGCUAGCAUGCAGCGUUUUCGGUAACCCGAAGCACGAGCUUGAUUUUCGGAGACCUCGACUUUGUUUACUUUCGACACAUGCAUUUGUUAUGGUUUAUGUCCUGUCUCCACUCCUGUAUUGUCAUUGGUUGUUUCCCGUAGGUGUCAUCAUUAGUCUCAGCUGUUUUGUGAUCACCCUUGAUUACGUUUGUCAUUUAAACCCUUCAUGUUUCUUUGUACUUCGCGAAGUAUUACGUGAGUUUCCGUAUACCAAGCAUUUGUUUCUCAGUUCGUGUUAUUAUUUUGAUCUUGUUCUCACCCUCAUUCUCGAUUGCAGUUUUGCCUAGUUUGUGCCUGUUUGCCAAUCGCCUGACCCAUUGCCUGUUUUUUGACCAUGCUACUGUCUCAUGAUUCGGAUUUGUCUGCCUGCCUCUCUUUAAUAAAAGCUCUUAUCUGCA